CACGUAGGCGGAUAUUUAAGUCAGGGGUGAAAUCCCAGAGCUCAACUCUGGGACUGCCUUUGAUACUGGGUAUCUUGAGUAUGGAAGAGGUAAGUGGAAUUCCGAGUGUAGAGGUGAAAUUCGUAGAUAUUCGGAGGAACACCAGUGGCGAAGGCGGCUUACUGGUCCAUUACUGACGCUGAGGUGCGAAAGCGUGGGGAGCAAACA
rnacentral:rRNA from 1 species